rnacentral:rRNA from 1 species
UACGGGGGGGGCAAGCGUUGUUCGGAAUUACUGGGCGUAAAGGGCUUGUAGGUGGCCAACUAAGUCAGACGUGAAAUCCCUCAGCUUAACUGGGGAACUGCGUCUGAUACUGGAUGGCUUGAGUUUGGGAGAGGGACGCGGAAUUCCAGGUGUAGCGGUGAAAUGCGUAGAUAUCUGGAGGAACACCGGUGGCGAGGGCGGCGUCCUGGACCAACACUGACACUGAAAAGCGAAAGCCAGGGGAGCAAACGGG